GGGACGAGACAAUAAUCAAAGGCUAGUUCUUCCGAGAGCGGGCCUAACGUGCGCGCUCGGGAGAGCGAAAGCUAAAUUGUUAGGAUAAGCAUGUAGUAGCUCCUCGUGAGUAACUUAGGGACCGGGGUUCGAAUCCCCGCGCCUCCACCA
rnacentral:tmRNA from 1 species